UACGUAGGGUGCAAGCGUUAUCCGGAAUUAUUGGGCGUAAAGAGCUCGUAGGCGGUUUGUCGCGUCUGCCGUGAAAGUCCGGGGCUUAACCCCGGAUCUGCGGUGGGUACGGGCAGACUAGAGUGAUGUAGGGGAGACUGGAAUUCCUGGUGUAGCGGUGAAAUGCGCAGAUAUCAGGAGGAACACCGAUGGCGAAGGCAGGUCUCUGGGCAUUAACUGACGCUGAGGAGCGAAAGCAUGGGGAGCAAACAGG
rnacentral:rRNA from 1 species